CCUACGGGUGGCAGCAGUGGGGAAUAUUGGACAAUGGGCGAAAGCCUGAUCCAGCCAUGCCGCGUGUGUGAAGAAGGCCUUCGGGUUGUAAAGCACUUUCAGUGGGGAAGAAAGCCUUGGGGCUAAUACCCUCGAGGAAGGACAUCACCCACAGAAGAAGCACCGGCUAACUCCGUGCCAGCAGCCGCGGUAAUACGGAGGGUGCGAGCGUUAAUCGGAAUUACUGGGCGUAAAGCGCGCGUAGGCGGUCUGAUAAGCCGGUUGUGAAAGCCCCGGGCUCAACCUGGGAACGGCAUCCGGAACUGGUAGGAUAGAGUGCAUGAGAGGAAGGUAGAAUUCCCGGUGUAGCGGUGAAAUGCGUAGAGAUCGGGAGGAAUACCAGUGGCGAAGGCGGUCUUCUGGACUGACACUGACGCUGAGGUGCGAAAGCGUGGGUAGCAAACAGGAUUAGAUACCCUUGUAGUC
rnacentral:rRNA from 1 species